UGUGAGUGGUAGGAGAGCGUUCUGUAAGCCUGCGAAGGUGUCUUGUAAAGGAUGCUGGAGGUAUCAGAAGUGCGAAUGCUGACAUGAGUAGCGUUAAAGGGGGUGAAGAGCCCCCUCGCCGAAAGCGCAAGGUUUCCUACGCAACGUUCAUCGGCGUAGGGUGAGUCGGCCCCUAAGGCGAGGCAGAGAUGCGUAGCUGAUGGGAAACAGGUUAAUAUUCCUGUACCGAUCUAUAGUGCGAUGUGGGGACGGAGAAGGUUAGCUCAGCCAACUGUUGGAUAUGUUGGUUCAAGCAUGUAGGCGUGCUCUUUAGGCAAAUCCGGAGAACUUAGCUGAGGUGUGAUAACGAGUCUGCUUGCAGACGAAGUGAGUGAUACCCUGCUUCCAGGAAAAGCCACUAAGCUUCAGCUAUAGAUUGACCGUACCGCAAACCGACACUGGUGCGCGAGAUGAGUAUUCUAAGGCGCUUGAGAGAACUCUGGAGAAGGAACUCGGCAAAUUGACACCGUAACUUCGGAAGAAGGUGUGCCUUUAGUAGGUGAACCAUUUACUUGGGGAGCCCAAUGAGGUCGCAGAGAAUCGGUGGCUGCAACUGUUUAAUAAAAACACAGCACUCUGCAAAGACGAAAGUCGACGUAUAGGGUGUGACGCCUGCCCGGUGCUGGAAGAUUAAUUGAUGGGGUGCAAGCUCUUGAUCGAAGUCCCAGUAAACGGCGGCCGUAACUAUAACGGUCCUAAGGUAGCGAAAUUCCUUGUCGGGUAAGUUCCGACCUGCACGAAUGGCGUAAUGAUGGCCACACUGUCUCCUCCAGAGACUCAGCGAAGUUGAAAUGCUUGUGAUGAUGCAAUCUCCCCGCGGAAAGACGGAAAGACCCCAUGAACCUUUACUGUAGCUUUACAUUGGACUUUGAACAGAUCUGUGUAGGAUAGGUGGGAGGCUUUGAAGCCAGGACGCUAGUUCUGGUGGAGCCAACGUUGAAAUACCACCCUGGUGUGUUUGAGGUUCUAACCUUGGCCCGUUAUCCGGGUUGGGGACAGUGUAUGGUGGGCAGUUUGACUGGGGCGGUCUCCUCCCAAAGUGUAACGGAGGAGUUCGAAGGUACGCUAGAUACGGUCGGAAAUCGUGUUGAUAGUGCAUUGGCAUAAGCGUGCUUGACUGCGAGACUGACAAGUCGAGCAGGUACGAAAGUAGGACAAAGUGAUCCGGUGGUUCUGUAUGGAAGGGCCAUCGCUCAACGGAUAAAAGGUACUCUGGGGAUAACAGGCUGAUACCGCCCAAGAGUUCAUAUCGACGGCGGUGUUUGGCACCUCGAUGUCGGCUCAUCUCAUCCUGGGGCCGUAGCCGGUCCCAAGGGUAUGGCUGUUCGCCAUUUAAAGAGGUACGUGAGCUGGGUUUAAAACGUCGUGAGACAGUUUGGUCCCUA
rnacentral:rRNA from 1 species